rnacentral:rRNA from 1 species
UCAGCGGGAUUCUCCUGAGAAUUCCGGCAGAGAAAGCAAAAAUAAAUGCUUGACUCUGUAGCGGGAAAGUGUAUUAUGCACACCCCGCGCCGCUGAGAAAAAGCGAAGCGGCACUGCUCUUUAACAAUUUAUUCGGGCCUCUUGCCAUCGGAUGUGCCCAGAUGGGAUUAGCUAGUAGGUGGGGUAAAGGCUCACCUAGGCGACGAUCCCUAGCUGGUCUGAGAGGAUGACCAGCCACACUGGAGGCUCACCUAGGCGACGAUCCCUAGCUGGUCUGAGAGGAUGACCAGCCACACUGGAACUGAGACACGGUCCAGACUCCUACGGGAGGCAGCAGUGGGGAAUAUUGCACAAUGGGCGCAAGCCUGAUGCAGCCAUGCCGCGUGUAUGAAGAAGGCCUUCGGGUUGUAAAGUACUUUCAGCGGGGAGGAAGGGAGUAAAGUUAAUACCUUUGCUCAUUGACGUUACCCGCAGAAGAAGCACCGGCUAACUCCGUGCCAGCAGCCGCGGUAAUACGGAGGGUGCAAGCGUUAAUCGGAAUUACUGGGCGUAAAGCGCACGCAGGCGGUUUGUUAAGUCAGAUGUGAAAUCCCCGGGCUCAACCUGGGAACUGCAUCUGAUACUGGCAAGCUUGAGUCUCGUAGAGGGGGGUAGAAUUCCAGGUGUAGCGGUGAAAUGCGUAGAGAUCUGGAGGAAUACCGGUGGCGAAGGCGGCCCCCUGGACGAAGACUGACGCUCAGGUGCGAAAGCGUGGGGAGCAAACAGGAUUAGAUACCCUGGUAGUCCACGCCGUAAACGAUGUCGACUUGGAGGUUGUGCCCUUGAGGCGUGGCUUCCGGAGCUAACGCGUUAAGUCGACCGCCUGGGGAGUACGGCCGCAAGGUUAAAACUCAAAUGAAUUGACGGGGGCCCGCACAAGCGGUGGAGCAUGUGGUUUAAUUCGAUGCAACGCGAAGAACCUUACCUGGUCUUGACAUCCACGGAAGUUUUCAGAGAUGAGAAUGUGCCUUCGGGAACCGUGAGACAGGUGCUGCAUGGCUGUCGUCAGCUCGUGUUGUGAAAUGUUGGGUUAAGUCCCGCAACGAGCGCAACCCUUAUCCUUUGUUGCCAGCGGUCCGGCCGGGAACUCAAAGGAGACUGCCAGUGAUAAACUGGAGGAAGGUGGGGAUGACGUCAAGUCAUCAUGGCCCUUACGACCAGGGCUACACACGUGCUACAAUGGCGCAUACAAAGAGAAGCGACCUCGCGAGAGCAAGCGGACCUCAUAAAGUGCGUCGUAGUCCGGAUUGGAGUCUGCAACUCGACUCCAUGAAGUCGGAAUCGCUAGUAAUCGUGGAUCAGAAUGCCACGGUGAAUACGUUCCCGGGCCUUGUACACACCGCCCGUCACACCAUGGGAGUGGGUUGCAAAAGAAGUAGGUAGCUUAACCUUCGGGAGGGCGCUUACCACUUUGUGAUUCAUGACUGGGGUGAAGUCGUAACAAGGUAACCGUAGGGGAACCUGCGGUUG